UGUGUGGUGAACAAACAUUUGCCUGAGACUCCUAAAACCUGACAAAAGGGAUGAGGGGUCUCCACUUCUCCCUCAACAUCACACCUCCGGAGCCCUGUGGUUUGAAGGCUGCUGUGCCCUUUUCUUGCUACGUCACACACUGGAUUCUCUGUGGUGGUGGAUUAUAGGGGAGCACCCUGAACUGUCUGAUGAGAUAAAUAUAGAAGCACACAUAUUGACUCUCUAGUCUUUAAAAUCCAACCCAGAGGUUGAGAGAGUUUGCAGAACUCAGGUACCAAGCAACAGUCAGUGUCCAUCUGUGGCCAUCAUGUCGUCAGAGGUGUGCAGUCAGAAAGAGGAAUGAAACGAAAGAUACAGCCUCUACCGACUGGACUGUUGAUCUAAAGCACAUGAGGCUCAUCUCCAAACGCCUAGUUCCUACACAGGUGAAGGGAAACUUGCUACCACUGCAGAAUGUGAGCAAACAGAGAUCUGAGAUGGCUUUGAGUCUUCUCUUGAGUAACAGGAAAUAACUUGCAGCCCAUCCUUCAUUUGCAUUUACCAUGUUUAAAGUGGGGACUAUGUCACAUUUCACAGUGAAGAUCCAUGUCUAAAUGACUACACAGAUAUUCAAUAUUAAUGAAGAGGAUGUAUUCUGGUGGCCUACUUCAUUGUCAGAAUCUUCAUUAGCAGAGGGAGAUGUAACAUCCCAUGCAUAAAGAUAUAUUCCAGAUUACUAGAAAGGAAGAGUGGUGUAUGCUAUAAGCUUAACCUGUUACUCUUGGGAAAAGAAAGAUAAAGCAUAUACUUGGCCCUGCAGCAGGAGGAUGGCAAGAGAGGCCAUGGGGCUAGAAUAGGACUGAGGGGAAGCAAGUCUACAGGCAUAGUCUCAUCCAAGGAAUGGUUAUAGGCCCCAGAGGAGGAGCAGUUGGGUAGAGCAGGGUCUGAAUGUCCAAAGUGGGUAGUUGCCACAGCAAUUAUGAAGAGACCCACAUGUGCAUCGAUGCUGUGGCAUCCCCCGUAUCCCCCAAAGACACAGCUGCCAGCACUUCUAAGUAGAUGAAGAGCAGCAUGUUUCUUCAGGGACGUAGGAGUAUCCCAUGGCUUCAGUCACAAACUGGUUUAAAACAGUAGAAACCGACUGUCUCUCAAUUCUGGAGAUUUGAUUUUUAAUAGGAAAAACUAUUCCUUCAGCCUGUUCACAGCUCAUGACCCACUGUGCAGAGGCCCCAGGAUGCCAAAGAGAUGCUCAUCAAAGGAACCAUGGCACACCAGGGCCACUGGCUAGCAGCUGCAAGAGACCUUAAUCUGCUUUAUUGUCAGAGUACCUUAUUGUGUGAUGCAGCUGUGGAUGACAAAGCCAUUUCUACCUUCCUACACUGCAGACCCGUGGGGACCAUCCUUCCAACUUUCCCUAUUACAUGAUUUUGAGGACAUGACUAUGUUUGUAAUUCUCUUUCACUAUCAUCAACCUAAAAAUCUGUAUAUUCAAAUUUUGAUCAGAAAUAAUUUCACAAAGGUUCCUGGGUGGCUCAGUAAGUUAAGUGACUGAUUUGAUUUGGCUCAGGUCAUGAUCUCAGGGUCAUGAGAUUGAAAUCAGGUCAGAUUUAAGAUUCUCUCUCUCCCUUUCCUCCUGCCAGCCCCCACUACUUGCAUGUUCUUGCUCCCUCCCUCUCUAAAAAAAAAAAAAAAAAAAUUCACGAAUAAAAUUA